AGCCACAAACUCUUUUUCGCACGAAUGGAGGAGGAUAGAGAAGAAGACAUCUGUGAUAAUAUGGAAGACAUUGAUUGGAAACCGUCGGAUAGUGGAAGUGAGCAGUCAAACCAUUUAAAAUCCGAUGCAACGAUAAAUAAAAAUGAUACCGAUAAAGCGGAUCAUCUAGAACGACCCCACAAAUGCCCAGACUGUCCAAAAUCGUUUCAAACUAAAUACCAACACAGUAGACACAUCCGGACUCACUCGACGGAGCGACCACAUAAAUGUACUCCUUGCUCGAAGACAUAUAAACAGAAAAACGAACUCAGAAAGCACAUGCGUACUCACACGAGGGAACGAACCUUUAAGUGUUCUCAGUGUCCAAAGACUUUUCCCGACAUCACAUCUUUUCGGUAUCAUAUCCGUGAGCAUACCGCCGAGCGAUCUUUCCAAUGUUCCCUCUGCUCGAAGUAAUUUAAGCAAAAAAAAUCAUUUAAAAAUCACACGCGAAUUCACGCGGACAACCCUCAAAGCUCCCAUCUUCAAAAAGAAAAAGAAAAAUCUUACCUAUGCUCUUACUGCUCUAAAACCUUCUCACACAAAUUCUAUCUUGAAAGCCACAUCCGUACGCACACGGGUGAACGACCCUACCAAUGCUCUCACUGCUCAAAAUCAUUUAGCCAGCUAGGAUCUCGAAAGCUUCACAUUCGCACGCACACUGGAACUCUAAAGCUUCACAUCCGGACGCACACUGUUCACGCCCGUACGCACACGGGUAAACGACCCUUUAAAUGACCCGAGUGCCCAAAGAUACUUAGCUUGCAAGCAUCUCUACGGAAUCACAGCCGUACGCACACGAUUGAACGACCCUACAAAUGCUCUUACUGCGAAAAAUCCUUUGCAGAUAAAUACUAUCUCAAGGAACAUAUCCAUACUCAUACUGGAGAGCGACCGUAUAAGUGUGAGCUGUGCCCUAAGUCAUCUUUCCUCCAAUCUUCACUCACACGCCCUUACGCACAGAGCUGAUGGACCAUAUAAAUGUUCUCACUGCUCGAAGUCAUUUAAUGAGCAAGAGUCCCUUUAUAUUUUAAAUACUUACUGUACAUACUUAUUUUAAAAAUAAAUUGUAAAACGCUUGAUUUUGUGCGAUU